CUACGGGUGGCAGCAGUGGGGAAUAUUGGACAAUGGGCGAAAGCCUGAUCCAGCCAUGCCGCGUGUGUGAAGAAGGCCUUCGGGUUGUAAAGCACUUUCAGUGGGGAAGAAAGCCUUGGGGCUAAUACCCUCGAGGAAGGACAUCACCCACAGAAGAAGCACCGGCUAACUCCGUGCCAGCAGCCGCGGUAAUACGGAGGGUGCGAGCGUUAAUCGGAAUUACUGGGCGUAAAGCGCGCGUAGGCGGUCUGAUAAGCCGGUUGUGAAAGCCCCGGGCUCAACCUGGGAACGGCAUCCGGAACUGUCAGGCUAGAGUGCAGGAGAGGAAGGUAGGAUUCCCGGUGUAGCGGUGAAAUGCGUAGAGAUCGGGAGGAAUACCAGUGGCGAAGGCGGCCUUCUGGACUGACACUGACGCUGAGGUGCGAAAGCGUGGGUAGCAAACAGGAUUACAUACCCGGGUAGUC
rnacentral:rRNA from 1 species